GGGGCCGAGGGGCACCGCCUGCUUUGCACGCAGGGGGGUCUGGCGGUUCGAGCCCGCUCCGCUCCA
rnacentral:tRNA from 1 species